rnacentral:rRNA from 1 species
GCUAAACGCGAAGAACCUUACCAGGCCUUGACAUGCACUAGACCGACUCUGAAAGGAGUCUUCCCUUCGGGGCUGGUGCACAGGUGCUGCAUGGCUGUCGUCAGCUCGUGUCGUGAGAUAUUGCGUUAAGUCGCGCAACGAGCGCAACCCCUGUCCUUAGUUGCCAUCAGGUAAAGCUGGGCACUCUAGGGAGACAAACCCUCUCUGAGGGUGGGAAGGUGGGGAUGACGUCAAGUCAGGAUGGCCCUUACGGCCUGGGCUGCACACGUGCUACAAUGCCCGGUACAGAGGGACGCAAUACCGCGAGGUGGAGCAAAUCCCAAAAACCGGGCCCAGUUCAGAUUGCAGUCUGCAACUCGACUGCAUGAAGCCGGAAUCGCUAGUAAUGGCGUAUCAGCUACGACGCCGUGAAUACGUUCCCGGGUCUUGUACACACCG